CAGCAGUAGGGAAUCUUCCGCAAUGGACGAAAGUCUGACGGAGCAACGCCGCGUGAGUGAUGAAGGUUUUCGGAUCGUAAAGCUCUGUUGUUAGGGAAGAACAAGUGCCGUUCAAAUAGGGCGGCACCUUGACGGUACCUAACCAGAAAGCCACGGCUAACUACGUGCCAGCAGCCGCGGUAAUACGUAGGUGGCAAGCGUUGUCCGGAAUUAUUGGGCGUAAAGGGCUCGCAGGCGGUUUCUUAAGUCUGAUGUGAAAGCCCCCGGCUCAACCGGGGAGGGUCAUUGGAAACUGGGGAACUUGAGUGCAGAAGAGGAGAGUGGAAUUCCACGUGUAGCGGUGAAAUGCGUAGAGAUGUGGAGGAACACCAGUGGCGAAGGCGACUCUCUGGUCUGUAACUGACGCUGAGGAGCGAAAGCGUGGGGAGCGAACAGGAUUAGAUACCCUGGUAGUCCACGCCGUAAACGAUGAGUGCUAAGUGUUAGGGGGUUUCCGCCCCUUAGUGCUGCAGCUAACGCAUUAAGCACUCCGCCUGGGGAGUACGGUCGCAAGACUGAAACUC
rnacentral:rRNA from 1 species